rnacentral:rRNA from 1 species
CCUACGGGAGGCAGCAGUGGAGAAUAUUGGGCAAUGGGCGCAAGCCUGACCCAGCAACGCCGCGUGAAGGAAGAAGGCUUUCGGGUUGUAAACUUCUUUUGUCAGGGACGAAACAAGUAACGGUACCUGACGAAUAAGCCACGGCUAACUACGUGCCAGCAGCCGCGGUAAUACGUAGGUGGCAAGCGUUAUCCGGAUUUACUGGGUGUAAAGAGCGUGUAGGCGGGACUGCAAGUCAGAUGUGAAAACCACGGGCUCAACCUGUGGACUGCAUUUGAAACUGUAGUACUAGAGUACUGGAGAGGCAGACGGAAGUCCUAGUGUAGCGGUGAAAUGCGUAGAUAUUAGGAGGAACACUCGUGGCGAAGGCGGGCUGCUGGACAGCAACUGACGCUGAGGCGCGAAGGCGUGGGGAGCAAACGGGAUUAGAUACCCGUGUAGUC